rnacentral:rRNA from 1 species
GCGAACGCUGGCGGCAGGCUUAACACAUGCAAGUCGCACGGGCAUAGCAAUAUGUCAGUGGCAGACGGGUGAGUAACGCGUGGGAACGUACCUUUUGGUUCGGAACAACACAGGGAAACUUGUGCUAAUACCGGAUAAGCCCUUACGGGGAAAGAUUUAUCGCCGAAAGAUCGGCCCGCGUCUGAUUAGCUAGUUGGUAGGGUAAUGGCCUACCAAGGCGACGAUCAGUAGCUGGUCUGAGAGGAUGAUCAGCCACAUUGGGACUGAGACACGGCCCAAACUCCUACGGGAGGCAGCAGUGGGGAAUAUUGGGCAAUGGGCGAAAGCCUGAUCCAGCCAUGCCGCGUGAGUGAUGAAGGCCCUAGGGUUGUAAAGCUCUUUUGUGCGGGAAGAUAAUGACGGUACCGCAAGAAUAAGCCCCGGCUAACUUCGUG